GUUACACAUUAGGAUAUCACAGUAAGAUGCCUAAAACCUCAACAGUGCACGAUAUUGCUCUUCACGGGAGCUGUGAUAUACACAUGAUACCAAAGUAGAUGGUGAAAAUAUGUUGCACUUUUUAUUUUGAUUUUCAAUAAUCAUAGGAAUUUUUUAAGGGAUAACUUUUAUUGACCCAAGCUUUCUUUAUGUAUUGAUUUUUUUUGUCUUCUUAGUUUAUUA
rnacentral:misc_RNA from 1 species